rnacentral:rRNA from 1 species
GGUUAAGCGACUAAGCGUACACGGUGGAUGCCCUGGCAGUCAGAGGCGAUGAAGGACGUGCUAAUCUGCGAAAAGCGUCGGUAAGGUGAUAUGAACCGUUAUAGCCGGCGAUGUCCGAAUGGGGAAACCCAGUGCAAUUCGUUGCACUAUCGUUAACUGAAUACAUAGGUUAACGAGGCGAACCGGGGGAACUGAAACAUCUAAGUACCCCGAGGAAAAGAAAUCAACCGAGAUUCCCCCAGUAGCGGCGAGCGAACGGGGAGCAGCCCGGAGUCUGAAUCAGCUUGUGUGUUAGUGGAAGCGUCUGGAAAGUCGCAGGGUACAGGGUGAUACUCCCGUACACUAAAACACACAGGCUGUGAACUCGAAGAGUAGGGCGGGACACGUGGUAUCCUGUCUGAAUAUGGGGGGACCAUCCUCCAAGGCUAAAUACUCCUGACUGACCGAUAGUGAACCAGUACCGUGAGGGAAAGGCGAAAAGAACCCCGGCGAGGGGAGUGAAAAAGAACCUGAAACCGUGUACGUACAAGCAGUAGGAGCCCACUUGUUGGGUGACUGCGUACCUUUUGUAUAAUGGGUCAGCGACUUAUAUUCUGUAGCAAGGUUAACCGUAUAGGGGAGCCGCAGGGAAACCGAGUCUUAACUGGGCGUUAAGUUGCAGGGUAUAGACCCGAAACCCGGUGAUCUAGCCAUGGGCAGGUUGAAGGUUGGGUAACACUAACUGGAGGACCGAACCGACUAAUGUUGAAAAAUUAGCGGAUGACUUGUGGCUGGGGGUGAAAGGCCAAUCAAACCGGGAGAUAGCUGGUUCUCCCCGAAAGCUAUUUAGGUAGCGCCUCGUGAAUUCAUCUUCGGGGGUAGAGCACUGUUUCGGCUAGGGGGUCAUCCCGACUUACCAACCCGAUGCAAACUACGAAUACCGAAGAAUGUUAUCACGGGAGACACACGGCGGGUGCUAACGUCCGUCGUGAAGAGGGAAACAACCCAGACCGCCAGCUAAGGUCCCAAAGUCAUGGUUAAGUGGGAAACGAUGUGGGAAGGCCCAGACAGCCAGGAUGUUGGCUUAGAAGCAGCCAUCAUUUAAAGAAAGCGUAAUAGCUCACUGGUCGAGUCGGCCUGCGCGGAAGAUGUAACGGGGCUAAACCAUGCACCGAAGCUGCGGCAGCGACACUAUGUGUUGUUGGGUAGGGGAGCGUUCUGUAAGCCGUUGAAGGUGGCCUGUGAGGGUUGCUGGAGGUAUCAGAAGUGCGAAUGCUGACAUAAGUAACGAUAAUGCGGGUGAAAAACCCGCACGCCGGAAGACCAAGGGUUCCUGUCCAACGUUAAUCGGGGCAGGGUGAGUCGACCCCUAAGGCGAGGCCGAAAGGCGUAGUCGAUGGGAAACAGGUUAAUAUUCCUGUACUUGGUGUUACUGCGAAGGGGGGACGGAGAAGGCUAUGUUGGCCGGGCGACGGUUGUCCCGGUUUAAGCAUGUAGGCGGAUGUUCCAGGUAAAUCCGGAACGUCACUAACGCUGAGGUGUGAUGACGAGGCACUACGGUGCUGAAGUGACAAAUGCCCUGCUUCCAGGAAAAGCCUCUAAGCAUCAGGUAACAUCAAAUCGUACCCCAAACCGACACAGGUGGUCAGGUAGAGAAUACCAAGGCGCUUGAGAGAACUCGGGUGAAGGAACUAGGCAAAAUGGUGCCGUAACUUCGGGAGAAGGCACGCUGAUGGUAAGUGAAGUGACUUGCUCAUGGAGCUGAAAUCAGUCGAAGAUACCAGCUGGCUGCAACUGUUUAUUAAAAACACAGCACUGUGCAAACACGAAAGUGGACGUAUACGGUGUGACGCCUGCCCGGUGCCGGAAGGUUAAUUGAUGGGGUUAUCCUCGCGGAGAAGCUCUUGAUCGAAGCCCCGGUAAACGGCGGCCGUAACUAUAACGGUCCUAAGGUAGCGAAAUUCCUUGUCGGGUAAGUUCCGACCUGCACGAAUGGCGUAAUGAUGGCCAGGCUGUCUCCACCCGAGACUCAGUGAAAUUGAACUCGCUGUGAAGAUGCAGUGUACCCGCGGCAAGACGGAAAGACCCCGUGAACCUUUACUAUAGCUUGACACUGAACACUGGUCCUUGAUGUGUAGGAUAGGUGGGAGGCUUUGAAGUGUGGACGCCAGUCUGCAUGGAGCCAUCCUUGAAAUACCACCCUUUAAUGGCUGGUGUUCUAACGUGGGCCCCUAAUCGGGGUUGCGGACAGUGUCUGGUGGGUAGUUUGACUGGGGCGGUCUCCUCCUAAAGAGUAACGGAGGAGCACGAAGGUCAGCUAAUCCUGGUCGGACAUCAGGAGGUUAGUGCAAUGGCAUAAGCUGGCUUGACUGCGAGCGUGACGGCGCGAGCAGGUGCGAAAGCAGGUCAUAGUGAUCCGGUGGUUCUGAAUGGAAGGGCCAUCGCUCAACGGAUAAAAGGUACUCCGGGGAUAACAGGCUGAUACCGCCCAAGAGUUCAUAUCGACGGCGGUGUUUGGCACCUCGAUGUCGGCUCAUCACAUCCUGGGGCUGAAGUAGGUCCCAAGGGUAUGGCUGUUCGCCAUUUAAAGUGGUACGCGAGCUGGGUUUAGAACGUCGUGAGACAGUUCGGUCCCUAUCUGCCGUGGGCGCUGGAGAAUUGAGGGGGGCUGCUCCUAGUACGAGAGGACCGGAGUGGACGCAUCACUGGUGUUCGGGUUGUCAUGCCAAUGGCAUUGCCCGGUAGCUAAAUGCGGAAGAGAUAAGUGCUGAAAGCAUCUAAGCACGAAACUUGCCCCGAGAUGAGUUCUCCCUGACCCUUUAAGGGUCCUGAAGGAACGUUGAAGACGACGACGUUGAUAGGCCGGGUGUGUAAGCGCAGCGAUGCGUUGAGCUAACCGGUACUAAUGAACCGUGAGGCUUAACCUU